UACAUACUCCGUCCGUCUGGAAUUACUCGUCACAAAAUGGAUACAAAUGGAUGUAUCUAGAACUNNNAUACAUCUAGAUACAUCCAUUCCUUCGACAAGUAUUUCCAGAUGGAGGGAGUAUAUG
rfam:Hordeum vulgare subsp. vulgare, WGS project CAJW01000000 data, contig: morex_contig_135198